GCAUGGUGAUGAUGAAUUGAAAAACGUCCGAUUAAAUUCAUGACAGGAGACAAUACCUCCUACUCAUUCUGA